UGACAUCUUGCAGUUAUCGGGAAAAGGAAUUAAGAUAUCUUAUUUUCUCUUAAGCCCUAUGACUUUGAAAAAUGAAUUUGAGAAAUGAUUCUUUCUUUGAAUGAGGACUAGACUUUGGUAGAUCCAGAAGAGAAUAUGGAGUUUUUGUGGAUGAUUAAAUUUGGCAUUCAGUGAGAAAAUCUAUGGACUCAAUCUUGCAUAAUGGCUUUGUAAUUCCAGCUGUUGCCCUAGGAAUUUCCAAGAACACCCUCUGAAGGCAAUUGAAGUGUGAUGCUGGAUCAUUGAAAAUGGAAUAAAAUGAAAUUACUUGAGAAUUUUUAGAAACUGCUAACAUCAGUUGGAUGGAAUUUUCAAUUGAAUAAAUCUAUAGCAAUGUUCUUUAGAAAAGUUCUCAAUGAAGUAAGGAGUUGAAAGAUAGCUUUAUAUUUUAAUUUAAAUAACUGUAAAAGGAAUGAAAGCAGUCAAUAUCUAGAGACCAAGUGACAUUUUCCAUAUUAAUGGGCCAAAGCUAUAUCAUACUUUGAAACAGAUCAUAGUAUUUGAAUGCCAAUGCAUUUUCCAAAGAAAUAUUGUCCUUUACUGCCAUCUACUGUUAUUCAGACAACGGACUUUUCAGAAUCUUUAUUAUCAAAAAUUACUAUUAUUUAUGCUUAUAUAUUGUAUUUAUCAUUCUUUCAAAAUAAAAGUGUCAAAACUCAGUUCCUUAUUUUUAUAAACGAAUUGUGAAAAAGGAAGGUAACCAUCCCCAGCUAUGUAUCUUGUCUUGCUAAAAUUUCUCCAUUUCUCAAACCAUGGCUUCUCUUCUAUUCUUAUCCACCUAGUCCCAGUCAUUGGUCACUCACCCGUGCCUGUAGCAGUCGGGCUAAGGGGGUGGAAUGCAGAUAUCAGUUCUCAGGCCAUUGGCUGCCACUUUGUCUUAUUUCUU